rfam:Aedes aegypti strain Liverpool supercont1.88 genomic scaffold, whole genome shotgun sequence.
GGGUCUGUAGCCUUGAAGUUACGCUUCCGCUUCAUAAGCGGAAGGUCAUGGGUUCGAUUCCCAGCCCCU